rnacentral:lncRNA from 1 species
GGGGGGGGGGAACCCGCUCCAUUGCCAGUUCGCCAGUUUGUCAUAGCGCUUCAUUCUUCAAAGUUCAAACCCUAACCUAAAGCCCAAAUCCAAGGGUUAGUUUUGCUUUCCUACCACUACGAUUGCAUCUACGUCAUUUUAGACUAUUUUAUUUUGCUUAAUUGCUUUUGUUACUGUAACUCAUUAACUGGAAUUUGAAAAUAUAUGUCAUUUGUGUUAUGAUAGAUCAUCCUUAUGAUUUGUGAUUUGUGAUUUGUUAGAAUUAUCUUGUGAUUUGUGAGAUUUAAUUUGAGAACUUUAUCAAAAAUUCAGAAUAGGGACAGCAAUAUUCGAUGGGUUUUCUGGCAUUUGUUGUCAUUUGAAGAAAUUUUUUUAUUCUGAUAGCUUCUAAUAUCAGAAAUGGUAUUGAAUUCUUGCUUUUUGUUGUUUUAUUGAGUGUUUUGGUUAAAUGUGGAGUUUAAUAUUCAUAUAAAACAUAAUUCGAAGAGUAAUUUUGUGGGGAUUUUUGAAUAUGUGAGAAAGCUGAGAGUUUGGAGUAUUUACAGAUUGUUUUGAUUUUAUUAUGUGAAGAAAUUAAUAUCAUCCAUGUUUUUUUUUUUUUUUUUUAUCCUUUUGAUGAUUUUUGCAAUAUGUGAUAAAGUUACAACUUGCAGAAUUAUUAUAUACAUGAAUUGCAAUUUAGGUUUAAAUUUAUGAUAAUAUUGUGAUUUGUGAACCUUUAUUAUAUAUGACUAUGUGUGUAGUUUUUCAAAUUAUUUAUUAACUUGAAUUGAUUAUUUGUGUCGGUUAUGGACAAAUAUUUUUAAUGUAAAUCUGUAUUUUCUUGUGAUGAGCAAAAUAAUAAUGAAAGAAAUGUUCGAGAUAAAAGGAAUGAAAAUAAUGUUGAAGAUAAAAAAGAUGACGGGAUUGGUGACGACAUGAAUGUUGGGGAUGAAACUAAUCUUGAAAAUCUUUUAAUUGAAACUAAUGACGAGGAUGCUGGGAUUAAAAGGCUUGAACUUGAUAGCAUUUUUUGCGAUGAUUUAUGUCAAUAAUUGUCUGCACAAUCGAAUCGGAGAUUAGUGUUCGCAUAUUUUGAGAGUGAUAUCUUUGACAAUAUUUAAAAUGGUAUAAUUAUGAAACUUUUAUAAAGUAUAGAACGUAUAGAGAACAAUUGUAAUAAGAUAUCGAAUGCUUUAAUUUUUCACAAUUUUUUUUUGCAAGUUUGACAGUACCUUUAAUUUAAAAUGUCUGUGUCCACCACUGCACUCACCCCAUCCCAUCUACUCCCAUUCACAGACAAUAUCACCUAUACAUAUGUAAUCACAUCGACAUCAUCAACAACGCAAGCGCCACCUUAAAAGAAUUAAUUCAAGAAAAAAAUUUAUUUUUGUGGUCUGAAAUCAUCGUCUACAGGAAGUUGAAGUACAAUGAAACUACUAUUUCAAAAGUUGAUGUCUUUCAUACACAUGCUAUAUCACAGAUUGCACAAGGUUGUCAGUGGGUAUUUGGUGAAGGCACUAGCAUAAUGUCCUAACGGGCCCCAUAUUUCUGUAUUACAGGCAUUGACGAUUCACAAUCUGAUUACGCUCGAGGCAGAGGACUUCAGCUAAUGAGUUAGAGGUUACUCAAAGUAGCCGAGUCAUGUAAAGUGCCAUUUGAAUUCCACAAUGCUGGCAUGUCUGGAUGUGAUGUCCAACUCGAGAAUCUUUAGGUUCAACAAAGAAAAUCAUUGGUCUUGAAUUUUCCUUGCAUGCUUCGCCACAUGUCGGACGAGAGGGUGAGCACAGCAGAUCAUCGAGACUGCAUACUAAGACUACAUAAGAGCUUGUUACCCUAGGUUGUAACGCACUUGAACAAAAACAUUGCCCCGUUUUUUCAGCACCUUUUUUUUCCGGUAAAAACUCUAAGGUUAUUAUGCUGUAGUGUUAGAGUCAAUUGACUGGAAUGACAAAAAAAUCCGCUCAAGUCGAUACACAAAGGACCCUCCUUGAAUGGGGGUGGAGAUUACCCGCCUGACCGGGUAAAUGGGUCGAGGAUGGAGCGAGAAUUAUUGUCUCCAAGCGAGUAUGGAAAACAUAGUCCCCGCUCCACUACCAGUCCUGUUUGAAGUUAAUUUCGAACUUAAAUUUUUAUUUUAAAAAAAAGAUUCAUUGUCAUUUUAAAGAGAACAUGACGUUCUUUAUAAAUUAGAAAAUAUAUAUAUAUAUAUAUA